AUUUAUAUUUAUCAUCUAAAAUAAAGACCUGUCCAAUCGUGGAAGCUAAGCAGGUUGGGCCUGGUUAGUACUUGGAUGGGAGACUGUGGGAAUAGCAAGCGCUGUAAGCU
rnacentral:rRNA from 1 species